CCUACGGGGGGCAGCAGUGGGGAAUAUUGGGCAAUGGGCGCAAGCCUGACGCAGCAACGCCGCGUGAAGGAAGAAGGCUUUCGGGUUGUAAACUUCUUUUGUCAGGGAAGAGUAGAAGACGGUACCUGACGAAUAAGCCACGGCUAACUACGUGCCAGCAGCCGCGGUAAUACGUAGGUGGCAAGCGUUGUCCGGAUUUAGUGGGUGUAAAGGGCGUGUAGCCGGGUUGACAAGUCAGCUGUGAAAUCCUGCGGCUUAACCGCAGAACUGCAUUUGGAACUGUUGAUCUUGAGUACUGGAGAGGCAGACGGAAUUCCUAGUGUAGCGGUGAAAUGCGUAGAUAUUAGGAGGAAUACCAGUGGCGAAGGCGGUCUGCUGGACAGCAACUGACGGUGAGGCGCGAAAGCGUGGGGAGCAAACAGGAUUAGAUACCCUGGUAGUC
rnacentral:rRNA from 1 species